ACCAACAGAAGCCGCGAACGCCGGUGCUCGAGCGCUGCGCAGCUUCGCCGGUGGAGCUUCACCCGGUGGAUCGACAGCGGGUUGCGUUGGGUAAGUCUGUGCCGUUGUCCUCUCUCUCUCCCUUUCUUCCUCAUCACGAUCACGAUGUCCGCGCCUGCGGCCGACAGCGAUCACACAGCGAAGGUGACUCGUGUUUUAUAUGCACGCACACAACCGUCUUCGACAGCAAGGCGUCUCGCUACUACGCCGUAGCUUCGACGAAGCCAUACAACAAGCUGCUUAGCACCGCACUGCGCGCUGAUGUGGAAAGGAUGAUCGCCGAAAACGGCGGCGGGGGGGGUGCGUGCUGCGAUGCUGGAGCGGCUCCCGGCCGUACCGGCGCAGUUCACCGCAACGACUAGAGAGCUGCGGCGUAUCCGUCCCUUGAGACGGGGGGGGGGGCGCCGCAACAGCGGCGUCCUCCAGUCUUCCGCUAUGCGUGCGCGUGGAGAACGUAACCAUCACAGGUGCUUGGAAAAGCUUUUACGCGAACCCGGAGCUGCUGGGGGUCAGCUUCCAAGUAUACAUUUUUUUUCCGCGAGUCGGCGUUGACGGCCGCGCUCGCAGCACCGGCCGGCGCUAUACGGGUAGCAGGCAAGUCAGCGCAGGUGUCUGUGGUGGCACGCGAUGCUGCCGUCGCAACUGCUGCGGACCCCUGUCCCGGUGUUUCCAACCACCUUUCCUGUGAGACUUACGACCAUGGCUCGACCUUGGCGCUGUCGAGGACUGACGGCAACACAGCGACACAAGGCCCAGAAACGCGUGAAGCGCGCGAUACGAUGAGCUCGAGUGCCGCUGGCAGGCGCCGGGCACGCGGACUUACUGCGGUAGCCACCACACUGAGCUCAUAUACGUCGUCCGUUGCUGCCGACCUUACCGCUCGGCAACCCGACAAACCCUUUAUGUGGAGUCUGCAGAGGGAUGACGCCUUUCCAAGCCUACGGCAGAACCUGCUGAAGGCGCUAACACGCAAGGACUACCUGAGCGCGUACGGGCGCGAGGUGUAUGUGCUCGCCCACCUGACGCUGAGCGAUCUAUCAAGGAUGCUGUCCACGAAGCUGCCGUCUUCGUCAUCCAGGUCUUCCAGGACGCAGGCUCGCACUGCAUCGGGAGAAGUCGCUAGCACUGGUGUAGCUCUGGAUUUGGAAGGCGCAUCAGCCACGGGAGCUUCACAGCGUCACGCUCGCAGCACGACAGGGAUGCUAGCAGUCUCAGAGACGGACGAUGCGAACUCCUGUGACAUCCUCGUAGCUUCGGCAACCUCGCGGAUCCCGCCACGUGGAGGGCCGAACCUAUCCACUCCCAUGACGACCGAUGGCAGGGCGCCGCAUCCAACCGUACUCGUGGAAGCAGCACAGAACGCCUACCACUUCACGCGUUCCUCUGAGUGUACGAACACUACUUGCAUCGCCGGUGCUGUGUGCAUCACGGUGAUGAUCGUUCUCCUUGCCUGUGCGCUUCUCGCGUACGUGCAUCAGCUCUGGCGCCGGCGACGCGAGAAGCGCGCGGACAAGCGGAGGCUGUUGCGACACGAGUUGCGUUGAGUGGUGCGCUGGAAGGGAUGGGCAUGGCUUUGUUACGUAGGCGCAUAGACACGCACAGAUAGACAGCCCGACAAACGUGAGGUGUCUCUCAUGAUCUCCAUCCGACGCACUUGCGUCGGUGCGUGGGCAGGCCUCCAUGUGCAGGCUCCCUUCUGCGCCUUCUGCCUUUUCCAGCUACGGGGAUACCUGUGACACCCCCCCUUUUUGCCAGCGGCGUGUUGUGGCGCUCGCACUGCGACUGCGUGUCUGCGGAACGUCCACACGCAUGUAUAUGUAUGUGUUUGUACUCCUAUUUUUUUUUUUUUCGGAAUAUCUGCUUAUGUGCAAACAUGUGACUGCCGUGGCGCUGCUGCAACUCUCCCUCUGUCUGUCUGUGCGUGCGUGUGCUUUAUGGACUCCUAUCCUUCCAUGUGCGCACUGGGCAUCAAGACACAGCGGGCGCUCUCCGUCGCUUCUCUCUGCGUACCUCGUCCGCGCUGUGGCAUACGCAGAGCGGCGAUGCACCACACGAUGCCGGGAGGCGAGAGGGCCGAGUGCAGCAGGAGCAGGUGCCUUUUCCUGCGAUUCGUAAACAACUAUAUGCGUGCAUGCAGGCUUUGUGCUGUGUGUCACGUGUCCUCCUGCCGAAGGGCACGCGCAUCCGAAGCUGGACAUGGCAGCCCACGGAGGAACAGCAACCACCACGCCAGCGGAGAGAAAGGGGACAUGACCGUGAAUCUUGCUC
rnacentral:misc_RNA from 1 species